AGCUCCAAUAGCGUAUAUUAAAGCUGUUGCAGUUAAAAAGCUCGUAGUUGGAUCUCGGAUUUGGGCUCGUGGUCUGAUGUCUUCAGUUACUGCUUGCCUAGAUCUACCCGCCGGUCUUCCCUUGUGUGCUCUUAACUGAGUGCCUCGGGUAACCGGAACGUUUACUUUGAAAAAAUUAGAGUGUUCAAAGCAGGCGCUCCGCCUGAAUAAUGGUGCAUGGAAUAAUGGAAUAGGACCUCGGUUCUAUUUUGUUGGUUUUCGGAACUCGAGGUAAUGAUUAAGAGGGACGGAUGGGGGCAUUCGUAUUACGGUGUUAGAGGUGAAAUUCUAGGAUCGCCGUAAGACGGACGGCUGCGAAAGCGUUUGUCAAACACGUUUUCA
rnacentral:rRNA from 1 species